rnacentral:rRNA from 1 species
GACGUAGGGUGCAAGCGUUGUCCGGAAUUAUUGGGCGUAAAGAGCUCGUAGGCGGUUCGUCGCGUCGGCUGUGAAAACCUGAGGCUCAACCUCAGGCCUGCAGUCGAUACGGGCGGACUUGAGUACUGCAGGGGAGACUGGAAUUCCUGGUGUAGCGGUGAAAUGCGCAGAUAUCAGGAGGAACACCGGUGGCGAAGGCGGGUCUCUGGGCCGAUACUGACGCUGAGGAGCGAAAGCGUGGGGAGCGAACAGG